rnacentral:rRNA from 1 species
GGAGAAAAGCAGGGGAUCGCAAGGCCUCACGCUAUUGGAGCGGCCUAUGUCUGAUUAGCUAGUUGGUGAGGUAAAGGCUCACCAAGGCGACGAUCAGUAGCUGGUCUGAGAGGAUGAUCAGCCACACUGGGACUGAGACACGGCCCAGACUCCUACGGGAGGCAGCAGUGGGGAAUUUUGGACAAUGGGCGAAAGCCUGAUCCAGCCAUUCCGCGUGAGUGAAGAAGGCCUUCGGGUUGUAAAGCUCUUUAGGCAGGGAAGAAAAGUUCUAGGCUAAUACCCUGGAAUGCUGACGGUACCUGCAGAAUAAGCACCGGCUAACUACGUGCCAGCAGCCGCGGUAAUACGUAGGGUGCGAGCGUUAAUCGGAAUUACUGGGCGUAAAGCGUGCGCAGGCGGUUUUGUAAGUCAGAUGUGAAAGCCCCGGGCUCAACCUGGGAAUUGCGUUUGAAACUACAAGGCUAG